UUUAUACUCCCUCCGUUUAAAAAUACUUAUCAGAGAAAUGGAUGUAUUUAGAUGUAUUUUAGUUCUAGAUACAUCCAUUUUUAUCCAUUUCUGUGACAAGUAAUUCCGGACGGAGAGAGUAUAAA
rfam:Triticum aestivum genome assembly, contig: Triticum_aestivum_CS42_TGACv1_scaffold_603499_7DL